rnacentral:rRNA from 1 species
CGCCUGGGGAGUACGGGUGAGGUAACGGCUCACCAAGGCAUCGACGGGUAGCUGGUCUGAGAGGACGAUCAGCCACACUGGGACUGAGACACGGCCCAGACUCCUACGGGAGGCAGCAGUGGGGAAUAUUGCACAAUGGGCGAAAGCCUGAUGCAGCAACGCCGCGUGCGGGAUGAAGGCCCUAGGGUUGUAAACCGCUUUCAGCAGGGAAGAAAAUGACGGUACCUGUAGAAGAAGGUGCGGCCAACUACGUGCCAGCAGCCGCGGUGACACGUAGGCACCAAGCGUUGUCCGGAUUUAUUGGGCGUAAAGAGCUCGUAGGCGGUUCAGUAAGUCGGGUGUGAAAACUCUGGGCUCAACCCAGAGACGCCACCCGAUACUGCUGUGACUAGAGUGCGGUAGGGGAGCGGGGAAUUCCUAGUGUAGCGGUGAAAUGCGCAGAUAUUAGGAGGAACACCAGUGGCGAAGGCGCCGCUCUGGGCCGUAACUGACGCUGAGGAGCGAAAGCGUGGGUAGCAAACAGGAUUAGAUACCCUGGUAGUCCACGCCGUAAACGUUGGGCACUAGGUGUGGGUCUCAACCAACGAGAUCCGCGCCGUCGCUAACGCAUUAAGUGCCCCGCCUGGGGAGUACGGUCGA